UCAGGACCUGUGAGAAGCUCCUGACUGCAGCGUGCAGUUCAGGGCCGGGCUCAAUGUGGGCGGAAUCAAACAUCGGGGCAGGGCUCAAUGUGGGUGGAGUCAAAUGUGUUUAACCCGAACCCUUCCCGUCUCCUUCAAGGUCACCCAAGUUGAGGUAAACGUCAAAGGUAUCAACGUCAACAAAUCUUAAUCGAACCUACAUGGAUAAAAAUAUAAACCAUGGAAAAACAUUGCUCGGAUCUUGUCCCCUGGACCUUGGAGGACUUUUGGUGUGGAUGAUGUUCAGGGCCUACAAAGCAAGGUUUCUCAAACAACUGGGAGGAGUUUGUUUUGAAGGUAAGAUGCUGGCUAUUCAGUAUAUUAUAUUUUUUCUGUUAUAACAUUUGAAAAGCUAUUACUAUUUCUGUUCUUGCAGCAUGAAAAGC